rnacentral:rRNA from 1 species
GACGAACGCUGGCGGCGUGCCUAAUACAUGCAAGUUGAGCGCUGAAGGUUGGUACUUGUACCAACUGGAUGAGCAGCGAACGGGUGAGUAACGCGUGGGGAAUCUGCCUUUGAGCGGGGGACAACAUUUGGAAACGAAUGCUAAUACCGCAUAAAAACUUUAAACACAAGUUUUAAGUUUGAAAGAUGCAAUUGCAUCACUCAAAGAUGAUCCCGCGUUGUAUUAGCUAGUUGGUGAGGUAAAGGCUCACCAAGGCGAUGAUACAUAGCCGACCUGAGAGGGUGAUAGGCCACAUUGGGACUGAGACACGGCCCAAACUCCUACAGGAGGCAGCAGUAGGGAAUCUUCGGCAAUGGACGAAAGUCUGACCGAGAAACGCCGCGGGAGGGAAGAAGGUUGUCGGAUCGUAAAAGUCUGUUGGUAGAGAAGAACGUUGGUGAGAGUGGAAAGCUCAUCAAGUGACGGUAACUACCCAGAAAGGGACGGCUAACUACGUG